CCUACGGGAGGCAGCAGUGGGGAAUAUUGGACAAUGGGCGAAAGCCUGAUCCAGCAAUUCCGCGUGUGUGAAGAAGGCCUUCGGGUUGUAAAGCACUUUAGGUUGGGAAGAAAAAGCUUCGGUGAAUAUCCGGAGUGUUGACGGUACCAACAGAAUAAGCACCGGCUAACUCUGUGCCAGCAGCCGCGGUAAUACAGAGGGUGCAAGCGUUAAUCGGAUUUACUGGGCGUAAAGCGUGCGCAGGUGGUUUCGUAAGUCGGAUGUGAAAGCCCCGGGCUCAACCUGGGAACUGCGUUCGAUACUGCGAGACUAGAGUUUGGUAGAGGGUGGCGGAAUUCCCGGUGUAGCGGUGAAAUGCGUAGAUAUCGGGAGGAACAUCAAUGGCGAAGGCAGCCACCUGGGCCUGAACUGACACUGAGGCACGAAAGCGUGGGUAGCAAACAGGAUUAGAUACCCUGGUAGUCCACGCCGUAAACGAUGAGACUGACGUUGGUUCGUUUACGAUCGGUGUCGUAGCUAACGCGAUAGUUCUCCGCCGUGGGGAGGUACGGCCGCGAGGUAGAACGUAACGUAAGAAGUUAGAGUCGUUGAGACGNGCCGACGGACGACGACGAGGGAGGAGG
rnacentral:rRNA from 1 species